GCAAAUGAAGGAGUAGCCCUGUGUGUGGAGACCGGAGCUCUACAUCAGGCGUGUUAAUGCCUGCCAUUCAUUUCUGAGGCAGGAUUCUCAAAGAACCUCAAAGGCCACAGGGCUAACUAAGCUGUCUCUGUCCUUGGCACCACAACCUUUACAUGGGGGCUGAGGAAGUGGGGGACUGAGAGUUCUUCCUCGGUGGUAAGAGUGACCCCGAAUGAGAAUAUGCGAAGGAGGACAGCUGUGUUCCCAGAAGUCUCAAAGCUUUUCAACUGGUGGGUAAAAUCAGGGUCUAAGCUAGCCAGAUGGCUGGGAACCAACAAGCAGCCCCUUCUCCAACAGUAUUGCAGUGUGUGUAUCUCAGGUAACCCAUACACAGUAGCUGAAUGCUGCAUCCAGAACCACCAUCCUUCAUCUCCCUGUCUACAUACUGCAGUAUUGUCAUCACGAGAAGAGUAUGGUAUAGUAAGACAUUUUGAGAGAAAGGAGGGGAUUGCAUUCAUGUACUUUUAUUACAGUAUGUUCACAUAAUUAUUCUGUCUCAUUAAAUGCUACUAAUUUAUUACUGGGCUUAAGUUACAAGUUAAAUUUCAUGGAUGAUGAUGGUGUGUAUGGUACAGGAGUGGGCACACACGUGUUAUGGCACACAUGUAGAGAGCAGAGGACAACUUGUCUUUCCAAGUAUCUGUGUGCAUGUAAAACUGUCUGGAGGUGUGCAACCUAUAGUCUCAGGUUUCUACUGGAAGUCCUGAGACAUUACCCAGAGCACCACUGUCUGGGACAGUUUCAGAUGACAGGACUACAGAAAUGGAGAUUCUGAAGGAAAGGGAGGGUAAGAGAGUGGGGGCUAUGACUUUAAAUAGGAAACAGAAGAGAUCCAAAUGUACGGAUGGAACUGUGUGUAGGGUACCCUCACAUGAAUCUGCACAUGAUAACAUACACACUAGCUAGUGUCAAAGACAGGUGAAAUGUGAGCCAUCAUUGUAAAACCCUCGUGCUCAAGCCACACGUGAUGUCCCCACUGUGGGAAACGAGUACAUGUGACUUACUGUUGGUGACCAAUGAAAACAAGUCUGAGUAUCUUAAACAGUGACUUCAAAUUACACACACAUUCCUAGACUGUAUGGAAAUGCAGACUCCAAGUACAAGAUGCAUACAAGAGAAGAAACAUUUAAGUCUCAAGACACAAAUACACCAAACAGAAAUAAGAUCUAACCAGACUAACAAUACUAAAAAAAGUAAAACGCAUGGAAACAGAUUAUUAACACAAAAGGAGAUGGUGCAGAGAGGACACCAGCAGGGUACGGUGGCAACAUUAUGAACCCAAGACCCAGGAGUGUGGGCAGAAGGAUUACGAAUUUGAGAACAGCCUUGGCUUCACUGCAAGUUUAAAACCAGCCUGCACUACAUAGCAAGACCUGAUCUUAAUAAAAAAACAAGGGCCAUUGGCUAGCGGCAGGACACUUGCCUAGCACGUGUUCAGUCCCCACAAGAAAAAAAAAGCAACAACAAAAUAACAACCAACCAAAUAAACAAAAAGCCUGGAUAUCAAAUGCAAAAGAAUGAAGCUGGUCCUUUACCUUCUGCUACUGACAACCAUUAACUAAGUGGAGUAGGGGUCUGAAUAUAAGCCCUGUCAUGGUAGACUACUAGGGAUGGGGCAUGCUGGGAUCCUAGAACUUGGAAGAGCAGGGGAGCAGUGCAGAGAAGGAAAAAUGCUGUGGAAUGUUAUUUUAACUGGGCAAAGAUGCAUCUGUUUAUGCUGUGGAAUGUUGCUUUAACUGUGUGAAGGUAUGUUACACUUGUUUAUGCUGUGGAAUAU